rnacentral:rRNA from 1 species
ACUUAUAAGUUUUUUACUUUAUUUAUUUUUAGGUUUGUGUGCCUUUUGCAUCAUGCUUAGGCGAGAGUUGUUAGUAUAUUCUUCAUACCGAAAACUGCGGAUCUUGUAUUUUACUGUUAUGUUAGGUGUCGGGUAGAUUCUUUAUAGAUAGAGUGCACGUUGUGAUAAAUUAGUCGGCGCAGUUUAUAGCUGUUUAAUGGUUUUAAAUUUAUUACUAUAUUAUUUGGCGAAGAUGUCAAAUAGUUUAAUAUACUGUGAUUUUGAGUAGGAACAAUAGGGUUAAAAGUACCCCUUUGUUAUAAAAGUGUUACAACUUUUCUUAAUUUUGUACUUAGUUAUUAGGUUAAACCAUUUUUGAAACAUGCUGUAUAUUAUGUAUGCUUAAAUAAGUAAUAUUAACAUUAACGUUGUUUCUCAAGUCUUGCCCGUCUGUUUAUUAAAAACAUUUCUAUAAAAAAUUUUUUAUAGUAGUGCCUGCUCUAUGUGUUUAUAAAUGGCCGCAGUAUCUUGACUGUGCGAAGGUAGCAUAAUUAAUUGCCUUAUAAUUGAGGGCUUGUCUGAAUGGUUUGACGUGGUAAGUACAAACAUCGUUAAUCUUUUUGAAAUUAUUUUAGAGGGCACAGAAACCUCUGAGAUUAACUAGACGGAAAGACCCCGGGAUCUUUCGUUUUUGCCUGGGGCAGGUUAAAAUUUUUCAUUUUUAUUAUGACCCUUUUAAUAGGUUUGGUGAGUUAAGUUACCCCGGGGAUAACAGUAUAAUAGUUUAGUAGAGAUCUUAUCGAAUAAACUGCUUGUUACCUCGAUGUUGACUUAGGCUUUAGUUUGUGCGCAGUAGUUCAAGCUUUAGGUCUGUUCGACCUUAUAGCCUCCAUGAGUUGAGUUAAGACCGGCGUGAGCCAGGUCGGUUCUUAUCUGUUACUCUAGCUUACUAGUACGAAAGGAUUGUAAGCUUUUUAAUU